rnacentral:sRNA from 1 species
CUGAGCCGCUUCCUGG